rnacentral:tRNA from 1 species
GGGCACGUAGCUGAACUGGAAGCCUCCGCAGGCGCACAGCACCGGAUUCGUAAUCCGGAGAAUGUUGGUUCGAGUCCAACCGUGCCCG